UUUUUGUUUUUUUUUUGUUUUUUUUUUUUUUUUGGCAGCUUUAUACCUUUGGUUGACAGUCAGCAAUUAGUUCUCGUCCACAUUAACAGUCUGUAGAUUUUGAAAGUGGUGACAGGAGAUCGGUUGAGCACCAGACUUCAGUUCAGGU